rnacentral:rRNA from 1 species
UACGGGGGGAGCAAGCGUUGUUCGGAUUUACUGGGCGUAAAGGGCGCGUAGGCGGCCACCGCAAGUCGACUGUGAAAUCUCCGGGCUUAACCCGGAAAGGUCAGCCGAUACUGCGGGGCUAGAGUGCAGAAGGGGCAACUGGAAUUCUCGGUGUAGCGGUGAAAUGCGUAGAUAUCGAGAGGAACACCGGUGGCGAAGGCGGGUCUCUGGGCAGUAACUGACGCUGAGGAGCGAAAGCGUGGGGAGCGAACAGG